UACGUAGGGCGCAAGCGUUGUCCGGAAUUAUUGGGCGUAAAGAGCUCGUAGGCGGUCUGUCGCGUCGGAUGUGAAAGCCCGGGGCUUAACCCCGGGUCUGCAUUCGAUACGGGCAGACUAGAGUGUGGUAGGGGAGAUCGGAAUUCCUGGUGUAGCGGUGAAAUGCGCAGAUAUCAGGAGGAACACCGGUGGCGAAGGCGGAUCUCUGGGCCAUUACUGACGCUGAGGAGCGAAAGCGUGGGGAGCGAACAGGA
rnacentral:rRNA from 1 species